AGAGAGAGAGAGAGAGAGAGAGAGAGAGAGAGAGAGAGAGAGAGAGAGGGGUGAGGAGUAAGUUAUCAUGACACGAGCACUACCAUUCCUCCUCCUUCCUUACCUUCCUCAUCUCUUUACCUGGCGACUCGACCCUUCACGCCCACACACAGGUAAGGCACGUCAAUCAUGGAUCCCUUAUAUAUUCAGAGAACGUAUCACCACAGAGAGCAGCAUGGUUAGCGGUGUGGUUGUACUGUGCCGUAAUGUGUCUGACUGCCGUGUGAUCAGUACUUCUGUGCCGGAAUGGCCUCGAGGAAGAUGGAAGAGAGUGAGUCAUGCAAUUAUUAACGACACACGAUGGUAUGUUUGGUGUAAGAAGACUAUUGAGGCUGCGAUGCAUUCCUCUUUUUUGCAAGCUACUCAAAACGUAUAUUCAUUUUGCAAUUCAUUUAUCUGUCUAUCAUUUUUAUAUUUAUUACAUUUUAAA